AUUGAACGCUGGCGGCAGGCCUAACACAUGCAAGUCGAGCGAGCGGCGGACGGGUGAGUAAUGCCUAGGAAACUGCCUGAUGGAGGGGGAUAACUACGGGAAACGGUAGCUAAUACCGCAUACCAUCGGAUGUGCCCAUAUGGGAUUAGCUAGUAGGUGGGGUAACGGCUCACCUAGGCGAUGAUCCCUAGCUGGUCUGAGAGGAUGACCAGCCACAUUGGAACUAGGACACGGUCCGGACUCCUACGGAAGGAAGCAGUGGGGAAUAUUGCACAAUGGGCGCAAGCCUGAUACAUCCAUGCCGCGUGUAUGAAGAAGGCCUUCGGGUUGUAAAGUACUUUCAGCGGGGAGGCGUUACCCGCAGAAAAAGCACCGGCUAACUCCGUGCCAGCAGCCGCGGUAAUUC
rnacentral:rRNA from 1 species